AACGAACGCUGGCGGCAGGCUUAACACAUGCAAGUCGAACGCCCCGCAAGGGGAGUGGCAGACGGGUGAGUAACGCGUGGGAACGUGCCCUUCGGUUCGGAAUAACUCAGGGAAACUUGAGCUAAUACCGGAUACGUGCGAGAGCAGAAAGAUUUAUCGCCGAAGGAUCGGCCCGCGUCCGAUUAGCUAGUUGGUGAGGUAACGGCUCACCAAGGCGACGACCGGUAGCUGGUCUGAGAGGAUGAUCAGCCACAUUGGGACUGAGACACGGCCCAAACUCCUACGGGAGGCAGCAGUGGGGAAUAUUGGACAAUGGGCGCAAGCCUGAUCCAGCCAUGCCGCGUUAGUGAUGAAGGCCUUAGGGUUGUAAAGCUCUUUCGCCAGGGACGAUAAUGACGGUACCUGGAUAAGAAGCCCCGGCUAACUUCGUGCCAGCAGCCGCGGUAAUACGAAGGGGGCUAGCGUUGUUCGGAUUUACUGGGCGUAAAGCGCACGUAGGCGGAUUUUUAAGUCAGGGGUGAAAUCCCGAGGCCCAACCUCGGAACUGCCCUUGAUACUGGAAGUCUCGAGUCCGGGAGAGGUGAGUGGAACUGCGAGUGUAGAGGUGAAAUUCGUAGAUAUUCGCAAGAACACCAGUGGCGAAGGCGGCUCACUGGCCCGGUACUGACGCUGAGGUGCGAAAGCGUGGGGAGCAAACAGGAUUAGAUACCCUGGUAGUCCACGCCGUAAACGAUGGAUGCUAGCCGUUGGGGAGCUUGCUCUUCAGUGGCGCAGCUAACGCUUUAAGCAUCCCGCCUGGGGAGUACGGUCGCAAGAUUA
rnacentral:rRNA from 1 species